GGGCACUGAUGAGCAGAGAUGGGCCUUACUGCUGAGUGCAAAGGGCUCUGCUGUGCCUUGUACUUUGCCCAGGGGGAGGCCUGGCUCUCUUGCUUGCAGUGCCCUCCUGGAGAGCUGGGCUGUCUCUUGGCUGUGCUGGAGCUGCCUGCCUCUCAGAGGGGACCACCAUUUGAAGCCUCCUCAGGUCAGCACAGAGGCUGCUUUCAGGCCUCAGCCCUGAGCAGGGCUGUCAGAGGUGAAAGGUGCAGAGCACGGCAGAGGCUCAGCAGCUCACCUAGUUCUUCUUUUUCCUUGCAGCCCAGCUGCCAGCUCCACAGGCCCUGCUGUCUCGACUGCUGGUGAGUAGCAAUGCCCUGGGGAAGGUGCCCUGGGCAAAGCCAUUGGCUGCCUGUUGCUGGCAGGAGGGGCUCCACACUUCCUUCCUGCUGGGAGAAGUUGCCAAUUUGGCAGCAGGAGCAACUCUUCUCUCCCUCUUGCCCUUGCCUAGGUGAAGUCAGCAGCUCCUCAUGCAGGUGGUGAGCACACAGUUGCUGCCUUGAAGCUGCUGCAGGCCCUCCACAGCACGAUCCAUGGAGCCCUGGGGGCAGCAUGAGAUCCCCUUCCUGCUGCAGUAUCUGGAAGGUAAGGUGCUCGUGGGGAUGGGCAGCCUGGCAGGGACGGAAAGGAGGCAGGAAAACACAGCUUCCCAGCAGGACAGAGGGGAAUUGUGCUCACUACCUUUCCCUUUCCAGGUGCCAAUAUUGAGGCUGGGAGCAACCAUCUCCCAGGGUGGACACCUGCCAGGGGCUGGAUAGUGUCACAGACAUUUUCUCAGGUGGCAGCCCCAUGUUCUUUCUGGGUCAUCUUUCCCAUUGUUCCGGGAGCUGUAAGCAAGAAACAGGACUCAGCCCCAGCCAGUGUUUCCUUUCCCAGCUUGAAUUGGAGGCUCUAACUACUGCCCCUGGGAUCCUUCUGCUUUCUAGGAAAAGAUGCUAUCUCCAUGGACUCUGCAGAGUGGAAGUGCCAUCUGCUUAAGGUACGGCACCCUUGGGGUCUGUCACAAAUGGAGCGGGAGGAGAGGGUGCAGGCAAAGUUUUGAGUGGAAACCUGGGCUCCCUGUGUAGUCCGUCAUCGAGAGGAAAAGGCCCUUCCAAGCACUCUGUGCCUGCCCACUCAGGGGAGUUGCUCUCUGCACAUGUGCCACAGCUGAUUGUUAAUGCCCUCUAAUUGCAUGGCCAAUACCUCUGGAGCAGCUGUGCCUCCCUUGGCACUGCCUCCUUCUUCUGGUCCUGAGGCUUGUGAGGUGUUGAGUGAGAUGCUAGCAGAAGAGGGGGGGAGGGAUGGGGAGAGAGACUGUUGUUCCUUACAGCUCUCCCCCCCAGCAGCCUCCUGGAACACGUCAGUGUGAUAAAGGGUCUGGCCAAGAGCAGGGAAAUGUUCACUUCCUUUUCUGUUUUCCCCUAGUUUCUGAAAGUGUCACUGGAAUGCAUGGAGGACCAGGCCUGGACUGUGGCUCUGAGCCAGCAGCUCAGCGAGCAGCUGGGCACCUGUCUCCAUGGCUCCUGGCUCCAUGGCUGGGACUGCAGGCACUCUUUUGCCCAUGAUGGCUUUUGUCACUGCUUGCCCUCCCCUUGUCGCCAAAAGACUCUUCCCUCCAUGCAGCUCAGAGGCUGGCUACAACCUAGCACCGUGGCUGGCUUCAGAUUGCUCCCUAGGGUGGUGGGGUCCAUCUUGGCCUGUCCUUCUCCUGACGUGUUGGGCCAUUACUGCAUCUUGGGCUCGGCCUCAUUUCUUUCAGCUCUUCUUGUACAAGGCUCUUGGGUCAGUGCUGGCAGCUUGUCAGGACGUCAGCCGCGUCCAAGGGCAGCUUCACGGGUAUCUCCAGGGAACAAACCACAUGGAGCUGUUUGAGGCCCAGGGAAUGAUUUUGGUUGUGUCCUUUGCUGCUGAGCGCCACUUCCACCUGGCCUUGGACGCAGUGACAGUGUUUGCUGCCACGCUGACCAGAGGCAGGUUUUCAGAGCCAUCUGGGGACUGGAAGGUACAGUGGCAGCAGAAGGAGGAAGCCCAGGCCGCUUGCGUUGCUGUCAUGCUCACCUACAGUGGCAUCACACUGCACGCCCCCAGGGAGCAUCUGUUGUCCCAUGUGGAUGCAGACAUCUUGGGCAGGAUCCUGAUGCUUUCUGGAGCCAGCUACCGGGUGGGAGCUCAGCGCAUGCAGGAAGAAGGGCGUCUGGAUGCCCCAGCUCCAGCCUCUGGGCAUGGUGGCAUAAUGAGAUGGGAUCUUUCUAAGGAUACCAAAGGAACAAUUUGCCCUGCACUUGCAGUCCAAACCAUUCUCUAGAUUCCUCCCAGUUCAGGUACCUCUUCCACCCCCCAUCCUUUCAAGCAGUUCAAAAAGUGCUUUGCUUUCUUGUCCUCAGGACUCUCAGCUAAAGCUUGCCCUAGUGCAGAGUAUCACUGAGGUCAGCUGCACCAUCCGGACUGUGGGUGACUGCCCCAGUUUUGGGCUCUUGUUGAAGCUGGAGGCCCUGAGGACACUGCUGGACUGGAUAAAGGAGGAGCCCUGGGACGUGGCAGUAUACCCCGUGCUUUUGUCCUUGGAGCAGCUGAGCAAAGUGAAGCCAUCUCUGAGCAGAGAGGAGAAUUGCCGCCUGCUGUCUGAGUGCUGCCAAAGCGUCUUCUCCCAUCCAUCCAUUGAAGAGAUAAAAGCAAGACAGAGGCCAGAGGCAGUGAGAACAUCAAGGUACCUGCUGUCCUAUCCCUUCCAAUGUCCCAGUUGGGCAUGGCAGCGCACCGUGCAAGAAAACCUCAGUCAUCCUUUCCUGCUUUCAGCUCCUGCACACAUCAUGCUUGGAGGCUCUGGGCCAGCUUAUGAUAACACUUCUUGAGCACUUUUGAGGACAUAGUCUGUACCAUCUGCAGAUGCUUCCCCUCAGCUCAGGGCACAGAUUUCAGGAGCGCGCUUGCAGAAAGCCUGCUGCGUCACACAGACCGGCAUGCAUGGGCUGCUGGGAUGUGGAUGACAGCAUUUCUGGAAAACGGUGGAAAGCAGCUAACUUCUCUGGAGGUGCCACAAGUCCUGGGCAUUCUUUAUACCAGCCUGCAGGCCGUGUCACAGAGCAUCCACAGGGUCCAAGGGCUG